rnacentral:rRNA from 1 species
GUGGGGAAUCUUGCGCAAUGGGCGAAAGCCUGACGCAGCCAUGCCGCGUGAAUGAUGAAGGUCUUAGGAUUGUAAAAUUCUUUCACCGGGGACGAUAAUGACGGUACCCGGAGAAGAAGCUCCGGCUAACUUCGUGCCAGCAGCCGCGGUAAUACGAAGGGGGCUAGCGUUGCUCGGAAUUACUGGGCGUAAAGGGCGCGUAGGCGGACAGCUUAGUCAGAGGUGAAAGCCCAGGGCUCAACCUUGGUAUUGCCUUUGAUACUGGCUGUCUUGAGUUUGGGAGAGGUGAGUGGAACUCCGAGUGUAGAGGUGAAAUUCGUAGAUAUUCGGAAGAACACCAGUGGCGAAGGCGACUCACUGGCCCAAUACUGACGCUGAGGCGCGAAAGCGUGGGGAGCAAACAGGAUUAGAAACCCGGGUAGUCC